AGGAUUUUAGUUUAUUAUUUAUAGAAAAUUUAACUUUAGCAAUGUUAAGAAAUAAAAAUUCUA
rnacentral:tRNA from 1 species